rnacentral:rRNA from 1 species
UACGUAGGGGGCAAGCGUUGUCCGGAUUUAUUGGGCGUAAAGGGCUCGUAGGCGGUUUGUCGCGUCGGGAGUGAAAACUCAGGGCUUAACCCUGAGCCUGCUUCCGAUACGGGCAGACUAGAGGUAUGCAGGGGAGAACGGAAUUCCUGGUGUAGCGGUGAAAUGCGCAGAUAUCAGGAGGAACACCGGUGGCGAAGGCGGUUCUCUGGGCAUUACCUGACGCUGAGGAGCGAAAGUGUGGGGAGCAAACAGG